rnacentral:rRNA from 1 species
AUACGGAAGGUCCGGGCGUUAUCCGGAUUUAUUGGGUUUAAAGGGAGCGCAGGCGGAGAUGCAAGCGUGACGUCAAAUUUCGGGGCUCAACCCCGUCUCGCGUCGCGAACUGCGUCCCUUGGUUGCGGGAAGGGGAGGCGGAACUCGUGGUGUAGCGGUGAAAUGCAUAGAUAUCACGAAGAACUCCGAUCGCGAAGGCAGCCUUCCGGCCCGUCAACGACGCUCGUGCUCGAAGGUGCGGGUAUCAAACAGGAUUAGAUACCCUGGUAGUCCGCACAGUAAACGAUGGACACCCGCGGUUUGGCCUGUAUGGCUGAGCCGCCAAGCGAAAGCGUUAAGUGUCCCACCUGGGGAGUACGCCGGCAACGGUGAAACUCAAAUGAAUUGACGGGG